AUGUACGCAGGUCAGGGAACACAGCGACUGGCCAAGCGAAUGGCAAUGUCCCGAAACAACCAACUCCACCUACCCCAGCAACACAGGCCCCACCCCCUCAGCCAAUGUCUACAUAUCCACCAUCCUCUACCUCAGGACCCAGGUAUGGAGAAAACAACAACAAUUGGAACCAGCCUCCGCCCACCCAGCCGCCUCUCCCCCAGCAAGGACCAGGUGUUCCCAAACCCAUCCCUCCCAAGCAUUGACCCUGACACAAACACCCCUUUGAACAUAAUGGGGCUCUUCCAUUACUCGUUAUUGUAAAUUGCAUAUUUUGGAUUUUUACUCACAUUGUAUGUUAAAUUGAGAUAUCCACAAACUUUUUAAAAACAUUUUAUUGCAGGAACAUGAUUUGGUGACAGGGACUUUUUAAGAUAUUGCUUUUUACAUUAUACUACGGAAAUGAAGGUAACACAUUUUGUAAUAAAAAUAUACAUAUUGUUGAUAUUGUUAAGUUCCAGAAAGGCUCAAUUUAUUUUAUGAGCUGUUUACAAGAGGUUUUUUUUAUAUUUAAAUGUUACUCAUAAUAAAUAUUGAAUAUAACAUUUCUCGCCGUUAUUUUCCUGUGUAUUAUUAGGCCUGUGUAUUAUUCCGAGGUACAGUAGAAUAUUAUCCGAGUUUCUAAACCCAGAGGCUCAACAUCACCAGAUUUCUGGUAACGCUUGUGAAACAGACCAUGCCAGGG
rnacentral:lncRNA from 8 species